rnacentral:rRNA from 1 species
AAUUUGUAGAGGAUGUUUCGGGUACCGCCUCGGUUUAAAUUUCUUGGAACAGAAUGUCAAAGAGGGUGAGAAUCCCGUCUUGGACCGGCGGUAGGGCCUAUGUGAAACUCCUUCGACGAGUCGAGUUGUUUGGGAAUGCAGCUCAAAAUGGGUGGUAAAUUUCAUCUAAAGCUAAAUAUUGGCCAGAGACCGAUAGCGCACAAGUAGAGUGAUCGAAAGAUGAAAAGCACUUUGAAAAGAGAGUUAAACAGUAUGUGAAAUUGUUGAAAGGGAAGCGCUUGCAACCAGACUUGAGCGCGGCGGUUCCCCCUUGCUUCUGCUUGGGUUACUCCGCCGUGUCCAGGCCAACAUCGGUUCUGGGGGUCGGUCAAAGGCCUUGGGAAUGUAUCUACCCACGGGUAGACUUAUAGACCAGGGUGUCAUGCGACCUCCCGGGACCGAGGAACGCGCUUCGGCUCGGAUGUUGGCGUAAUGGUUGUCAGCGACCCGUCUUGAAACACGGACCAAGGAGUCUAACAUCUAUGCGAGUGUUUGGGUGUCAAACCCGGAACGCGAAAUGAAAGUGAACGGAGGUAGGAAGCUUCGGCUGCACUAUCGACCGAUCCUGAAGUUUACGGAUGGAUUUGAGUAUGAGCAUAGCUGUUGGGACCCGAAAGAUGGUGAAC